GACAGAGGGGGCAAGCGUUGCUCGGAAUUACUGGGCGUAAAGGGCGCGUAGGCGGGAUGGCAAGUCGGUCGUGAAAUCCUUCGGCCCAACCGAAGAACGUCGAUCGAUACUGCUGUUCUAGAGGAUUGCAGAGGAGACUGGAAUUCCCGGUGUAGCGGUGAAAUGUGUAGAUAUCAGGAGGAAUACCGAUGGCGAAGGCAGGUCUCUGGGCUGACACUGACGCUCAUGCACGAAAGCGUGGGGAGCAAACAGG
rnacentral:rRNA from 1 species